GUUUAUAAAGUUUAUAAAACAUUUCGAUUUCAAUGAAAAAAUGGGCUGUGUGCCCUAUAAAUA
rnacentral:tRNA from 1 species